rnacentral:piRNA from 1 species
UCAUAUGGUGGUAUAGUGGUGAGCAUAGC